rnacentral:miRNA from 1 species
GGCUUGAUGCGCGGUCUGUAGG